UACGUAGGAUGCAAGCGUUGUCCGGAAUUAUUGGGCGUAAAGAGCGAGCAGGCGGUUUCUCAAGUCAGAUGUGAAAUAUCCCGGCUUAACCGGGAGGGGCCAUUUGAAACUGAGAGACUAGAGUGGAGCAGAGGACAGUGGAAUUCCCGGUGUAGUGGUGAAAUGCGUAGAUAUCGGGAGGAACACCAGUGGCGAAGGCGACUGUCUGGGCUUUAACUGACGCUGAGGCGCGAAGGCCGGGGGAGCAAACAGG
rnacentral:rRNA from 1 species